UGGGGAAUAUUGGACAAUGGGCGCAAGCCUGAUCCAGCCAUGCCGCGUGAGUGACGAAGGCCUUAGGGUUGUAAAACUCUUUCAUCGGUGACGAUAAUGACGGUAGCCGAAGAAGAAGCCCCGGCUAACUCCGUGCCAGCAGCCGCGGUAAUACGGAGGGGGCUAGCGUUGUUCGGAAUCACUGGGCGUAAAGCGCACGUAGGCGGACUGGUCAGUCAGGGGUGAAAUCCCGAGGCUCAACCUCGGAACUGCCUCUGAUACUGCUAGUCUCGAGUCCGGGAGAGGUGAGUGGAAUUCCUAGUGUAGAGGUGAAAUUCGUAGAUAUUAGGAAGAACACCAGUGGCGAAGGCGGCUCACUGGCCCGGUACUGACGCUGAGGUGCGAAAGCGUGGGGAGCAAACAGGAUUAGAUACCCCCGUAGUCC
rnacentral:rRNA from 1 species